AAAAAGCAGAGACCCCCCCUCGUACCUUUUGCAUCAUGAUUUAGCAAGUAAUAACCAAGCAAAAAGUAUUUUAGUUUGGCCCCCCGAAACCAAGUGAGCUACUCCAAGACAACCUACAAUUAGGGUAAACCCGUCUCUGUGGCAAAAGAGUGGGAAGAGCUUUGAGUAGAGGUGACAGACCUAUCGAACUUGGUAAUAGCUGGUUGCUUGAGAAACGAAUAGAAGUUCCGCUUCUUAUAUUCUUACCCCGCCCUGGCCACAAAGGCCCCCACAGAAAAAAGAAAAUAAGAAAGUUAGUCAAAGGAGGUACAGCUCCUGUGAAGCAAGACACAACUUUUCCAGAAGGGUAAAGAUCACAAUAAUCUUAAGGUACCUAUGUUUUGGUGGGCCUAAAAGCAGCCAUCCCAUUAGAAAGCGUUAAAGCUCUAGCAUAGCCCCUCCUCUAAUACCGAUAAUAAAUCUUAACCCCCUAGUUAUAUUAAGCCGCCCCAUAAAAUACAUGGGAGUGAUCAUGCUAAAAUGAGUAAUCAGAGAACAACACUUCUCUCCGUGCACACGUGUAAAUCGGAACGGACCCCCCACCGAAACUUAACGACCCCAAAUAAAGAGGGCCCUGAGUGGUAAACAAUAAACUAGAAAACCGCCCAAAACUUUACCGUUGACCCCACACUGGUGUGCUUCCAAGGAAAGACCAAAAGGAAAAGAAGGAACUCGGCAAACACACCCAAGCCUCGCCUGUUUACCAAAAACAUCGCCUCUUGUUAAUAACAUAUAAGAGGUCCCGCCUGCCCUGUGACCCCUGGUUCAACGGCCGCGGUAUUUUGACCGUGCAAAGGUAGCGCAAUCACUUGUCCCUUAAAUGAGGACCCGUAUGAAUGGCAUAACGAGGGCUUAACUGUCUCCUUUCCCCGGUCAAUGAAAUUGAUCUUCCCGUGCAGAAGCGGGAAUACUUACAUAAGACGAGAAGACCCUAUGGAGCUUUAGACACCAGAACAGACCAUGUCAAUUACCCCCUUAAGCAAGUAAUAAUUAUUGAACCCCUGUUCCCCUGUCUUUGGUUGGGGCGACCACGGGGAAGAAAAAAACCCCCACGUGGACUGGGAGCACGUUCCUCCUACAACCACGAGCUACCGCUCUAAUAACGCAGAAUUUCUGACCAAUAAGAUCCGGCAAAGCCGAUCAACGGACCCAGUUACCCUAGGGAUAACAGCGCAAUCCCCUUCAAGAGUCCAUAUCGACAAGGGGGUUUACGACCUCGAUGUUGGAUCAAGACAUCCUAAUGGUGCAGCCGCUAUUAAGGGUUCGUUUGUUCAACGAUUAAAGUCUU
rnacentral:rRNA from 1 species